UACGUAGGGGGCUAGCGUUGUCCGGAAUCAUUGGGCGUAAAGCGCGUGUAGGCGGUUCGGUAAGUCCGCUGUGAAAGUCGGGGGCUCAACCCUCGAAUGCCGGUGGAUACUGUCGGGCUAGAGUGCGGAAGAGGCGAGUGGAAUUCCUGGUGUAGCAGUGAAAUGCGCAGAUAUCAGGAGGAACACCAAUUGCGAAGGCAGCUCGCUGGGACGCUACUGACGCCGAGACGCGAAAGCGUGGGGAGCAAACAGG
rnacentral:rRNA from 1 species